GUGAGGCAGAUGAUUGUCUUGGGAGUGAUCUUGCCAUGCUACUCAAGGAGUGAGGAUCAACUUGCGGAUGUGUUCACCAAGGCUGCAAGACAAAAGACUAUGGAGUCCAUUCAUUCCAGAUUGGGGCUCAUAGAUCUUUCCCCAAGGAGCUGAUCCCCUUUGCCAUGAGGUCUUCACUCUUUUUCCCUCAUCAAGGUUUUGUCCCAAUGGGUUUUUCUUGGUGAGGUUUUUAAUGAGGGAGAUCUCAUGGUGGUUCCAAGCUUAACUAAGUUACUAAGUUAAGCUUGAGGGGGAGUGUUAAAAUGAGUUGUUCAGUAUAUGGGGAGAUGGCUUAAGGAGUUGAGAGUGUGAGAAUGUGGAGGCAAAGGGAAGGAAGGUUAGGGAUCGACCAGGCCGUACAAGAGGCCGUACCGGCCGUACCGUCCGUACUGUCCGGGUCGAUCCAUAACUCGACCAAGAGGGAAGUUACCCGGGUGAAAGGGUUAAACGGCCAAAGGGGUUUUACCUUAGGAGAUAUGACCGUUUGGAUGGAUAGAGUGACCGCGGCUUAUCCUGACAGUCUGGCACAAGCUGUAAAGGCAAAAGGGAACCUAGUCCAAGAUGCCAAAAGCGUGUGACAGCUCCCA
rnacentral:lncRNA from 1 species